GGACACUGAAGAAAGCCUGAAUUUGUAAUCCUCAAAGAAAAAAACAUCAAAAGGAAAAUGAUGUUCAAGCUAUCAGUCAUCAGCCUGUUCCUCCUAUCUGUCACUAACACUUCAGGGAUACCUACAACACUGAUGACCUCAGGGUCUAUGGCAGACUGGAGUCCCAAGACGAGCCUGACUUCUAUGACAACCCCAAAUUCCAAGACAACUCUAAAUGCCAACACAAUCUUGAGUUUCAAGACAACUUUAAAUCUCCAUACAACCUCAAAAUCCAAGACAACCUCAAAAUCCAAGACAACUUCAAAUCUCCAAAUGAUCUCAAAUAUGAAGAUGACCUCAAAUACCAAGACAACUCAGAAAACAGCAGUGAGCCCAAAGAUAGCCACGACCAGAAAUGUGAAGACUAUGAAAAGUGGUAGCACAACACUGAAUCCAAUGGUCAACAUUCACUUUCUUCUCUAUAUGGCAUGCUUGCUGUUUUCUGAAGUGAACUUGAAUGGUCUGCAUUCCUAACUCAGUUCAUUACUAUCUGCUGAAUUACAACAAGCACACUAAGAAAAUCAAAUUUAUUUCAAUUUAUUUCUCAGGAAAUUAUCAUUAUUCUAACCAAAUUAGAUUGUAGAUUUUAAUUGUGUUAAGUUUAAUUAUUACCUUAAUAUAAUGCUUUCCUUCCUUAUAAAUGCUAAAACAAGCAAAAUACUACACAUUUGCCUUUUAAAUGUUUGCAAAUUGAACAGAAACUCAGAUUUUUACAUUAAAAGUUUAAGAGAAGAAA